UUCCGGUUGAUCCUGCCGGACCUGACUGCUAUCGGAUUGAUACUAAGCCAUGCGAGUCAUUGUAGCAAUACAAGGCAGACGGCUCAGUAACGCGUAGUCAACCUACCCUAUGGACGGGAAUAACCUCGGGAAACUGAGUAUAAUGCCCGAUAGAACACUAUACCUGGAAUGGUUUGUGUUUCAAAUGAUUUAUUGCCAUAGGAUGGGACUGCGGCCUAUCAGUUUGUUGGUGAGGUAAUGGCCCACCAAGACUAUUACAGGUACGGGCUCUGAGAGGAGUGGCCCGGAGAUGGGUACUGAGACACGGACCCAGGCCCUAUGGGGCGCAGCAGGCGAGAAAACUUUGCAAUGUGCGAAAGCACGACAAGGUUAAUCCGAGUGGUUUCUGCUAAAGGAACCUUUUGACAGUCCUAGAAACACUGUUGAAUAAGGGGUGGGCAAGUUCUGGUGUCAGCCGCCGCGGUAAAACCAGCACCUCAAGUGGUCAGGAUGAUUAUUGGGCCUAAAGCAUCCGUAGCCGGCUCAGUAAGUUUUCGGUUAAAUCUGUACGCUCAACGUACAGGCUGCCGGGAAUACUGCAGAGCUAGGGAGUGGGAGAGGUAGACGGUACUCGGGAGGAAGUGGUAAAAUGCUUUGAUCUUUCGAUGGCCACCUGUGGCGAAGGCGGUCUACCAGAACACGUCCGACGGUGAGGGAUGAAAGAUGGGGGAGCAAACCGGAUUAGAUACCCGGGUAGUCCCAGCUGUAAACUAUGCAAACUCAGUGAUGCAUUGACUUGUGGUCAAUGCAGUGUUGCAGGGAAGCCGUUAAGUUUGCCGCCUGGGAAGUACGUACGCAAGUAUGAAACUUAAAGGAAUUGGCGGGGGAGCACCACAAGGGGUGAAGCCUGCGGUUCAAUUGGAUUCAACGCCGG
rnacentral:rRNA from 1 species